rnacentral:rRNA from 1 species
UUUUGUGAUGGGACAGCUAGUGCUCCAGUUAGGACCAUACCAGUCUCAGAAGUUAAAUUUGGCUAGUACUUGGAUGGGAGACCAGCUGGGAAUCCUGUAUCCCACAGA